UACGUAGGGUGCAAGCGUUGUCCGGAAUUAUUGGGCGUAAAGAGCUCGUAGGCGGUCUGUCGCGUCGGCUGUGAAAACCCGGGGCUCAACCCCGGGCCUGCAGUCGAUACGGGCAGACUAGAGUGCGGUAGGGGAGACUGGAAUUCCUGGUGUAGCGGUGAAAUGCGUAGAUAUCUGGAAGAACACCAAAGGCGAAGGCAGUGUCCUGGGUGGUCGCUGACGCUGAGAGGCGAAAGCCAGGGGAGCGAACGGG
rnacentral:rRNA from 1 species